rnacentral:rRNA from 1 species
UCAAGCAAUAAGGGCACAGGGCGGAUGCCUUGGCACUAAGAGCCGAUGAAAGACGUGAUAAGCUGCGAUAAGCUUCGGGGAGGAGCAAAUAUCCAUUGAUCCGGAGAUGUCUGAAUGGGGAAACCCACAUGAGCAAACCUCAUGUAUCCUACAGCCAAUACAUAACUGUAGGAAGGGAACCCGGGGAACUGAAACAUCUAAGUACCCGGAGGAAAAGAAAGAAAACUCGAUUCCGUAAGUAGCGGCGAGCGAACGCGGAGGAGCCUAAACCGGAAUGCGUGCAUUCCGGGGUUACGGACUGCAUUUAAGAUUCUUUGAAGCUAACAGAACGGUUUUGGGAAAGCCGGCCGCAGAGGGUGAAAGCCCCGUACGUGAAAGCUGAUGAGACUGAGCAGGAUCCAGAGUACCACGAGACACGUGGAACCUUGUGGGAAAUCAGGGGGACCACCCCCUAAGGCUAAAUACUACUUAGUGACCGAUAGCGCAUAGUACUGUGAAGGAAAGGUGAAAAGGACCCCGGGAGGGGAGUGAAAGAGAACCUGAAACCCUGUGUCUACAAGCUGUGGAAGCACUUUAUAUGUGCGACCGCGUACUUUUUGUAGAACGGUCCGGCGAGUUACGCUUACUGGCAAGGUUAAGCACUUCAGGUGCGGAGCCGUAGGGAAACCAAGUCUUAAGAGGGCCAGAGUCAGUAGGAGUAGACCCGAAACCGGGUGAUCUAUCCAUGUCCAGGUUGAAGCUGCCGUAAGAGGUAGUGGAGGACCGAACCCACAUCCGUUGAAAAGGGUGGGGAUGAGGUGUGGAUAGGGGAGAAAUUCCAAUCGAACCCGGAGAUAGCUGGUUCUCCUCGAAAUAGCUUUAGGGCUAGCCUCGAUACAGAUUUGCGGAGGUAGAGCACUGAAUUUCCUAGGGGGCGUCAAAGCCUACCGAAGAAUAUCAAACUCCGAAUGCCGCGUAAUCGAUUAUCGGGAGUCAGACUGCACGAGAUAAGUUGGGCGGUCAAAAGGGAAAGAGCCCAGACCUUCAGUUAAGGUCCCCAAGUGCGCGUUAAGUGGAAAAGGAUGUGGGAUUUCGAAGACAACCAGGAUGUUGGCUCAGAAGCAGCCAUCCAUUCAAAGAGUGCGUAAUAGCUCACUGGUCGAGAGGUCCUGCGCCGAAAAUGUCCGGGGCUGAAACGCGCCACCGAAACUAAGGAACCGAAAGGUUGGUAGAGGAGCAUUGCAUGCGGGAAGAAGCAGUACCGUAAGGAGCUGUGGACUGCAUGGAAGAGAGAAUGCCGGAAUGAGUAGCGAGAAUAAGGUGGGAAUCCUUAUGGCCGAAUAUCCAAGGUUUCCAGAGUAAAGCUGAUCUGCUCUGGGUAAGUCGGGGCCUAAGGCGAGGACGAGAGUCGUAGCCGAUGGACAACAGGUGGAGAUUCCUGUACUGCGGUAUGACAGAACUGUGGGGACACGUAAGGAAAGCGGAAGCCGGGAAUGGAAAGCCCGGUGCAAGCGGGGUACCAGUCACUUUGGCAAAUCCGGGUGGCAAUGGGAAGCCGUGAUGCGGAGCGAAAUAAAGUAGCGAAGUCCGUGAGCCAUGCGUCAAGAAAAGCCGCUAUCGUUUAUACCGUACCCGUACCGUAAACCGACACAGGUGGAUGAGGAGAGAAUCCUAAGGCCGGCGGAAGAAGCAUUGUCAAGGAACUCGGCAAAAUGGCCCCGUAACUUAGGGAUAAGGGGUGCCUGGGAAACCAGGCCGCAGAGAAUAGGCUCAAGCAACUGUUUAGCAAAAACACAGGUCUAUGCGAAACCGAAAGGUGAGGUAUAUGGGCUGACGCCUGCCCGGUGCUGGAAGGUUAAGAGGAGAGGUUAGCGGUAACGCGAAGCUUUGAAUUUAAGCCCCAGUAAACGGCGGCCGUAACUAUAACGGUCCUAAGGUAGCGAAAUUCCUUGUCGGGUAAGUUCCGACC